rnacentral:rRNA from 1 species
AUGGGCGGCCAUCGUAGGCGGGGGCUGGGUGCAGGGGAUGGAUGCCGACGAGCAGCUCGUCCAUGCCGUCCCCCACCAUGUGUUCAGCAAGGUGAUGCGGUCAAGGGACUCUCACCGGCUGGAUCCCAUGGCCUUGAUCUGUUCCUUCAGUUGGGGAACAACUCGUCAUCAGCACCGCUGGAAAAGGCAUGGAAACUUGGCGUGCUCGUCCUCGGCGACGAGGGAACUGGAAGGAGGCCGACAACAGGUGAAGCACCGGCGGCGGCGCGAAAGAUGCAGCGGAUCCUGCCGAUCUCGUACGAUUUGGCAAUGGCGGAGCGAGGACGGGCACCGCGGAGAGGACGGAUGCGGGCUCGGCGGCGGCGGAGGGAACCCUCCUCUUCUCGUGCGGGGCAGCAAUGCCAAGACCAUGGUGUCCUCUAG